GCCCUGGUGGCACAAUGGUUAAGCAAUUGGCUGCUAACUGAAAGGUCAGUGGUUCAAAUCCACCCAGCGGCU
rnacentral:tRNA from 1 species